rnacentral:rRNA from 1 species
UGAGCAAUCUGCCCUUCUCAUCGGAAUAAGCGUUGGAAACGACGUCUAAUGCCGAAUACGACCUCCUUUCGCAUGAUCGGAGGUGGAAAGCUCCGGCGGAGAAGGAUGAGCUCGCGGCCUAUCAGCUAGUUGGUGUGGGUAAUGGCCCACCAAGGCGACGACGGGUAGCCGUCCUGAGAGGGUGACCGGCCACACUGGGACUGAGACACGGCCCAGACCUCCUACGGGAGCAG